CUUACACAUGCAAGUCGAGGGGUAACGACUCCGUCUUCGGAUGGAGGUCGACGACCGGCGCACGGGUGAGUAACGCGUAUGCAACCUACCUUUUACAGGAGGAUAGCCCAGAGAAAUUUGGAUUAAUACUCCAUAGUACUAAUGAAUCACCUGGUUUAUUAGUUAAAACUCCGGUGGUAAAAGGUGGGCAUGCGUGUCAUUAGCUAGUUGGUAAGGUAACGGCUUACCAAGGCGAAGAUGACUAGGGGUUCUGAGAGGAAGAUCCCCCACACUGGUACUGAGACACGGACCAGACUCCUACGGGAGGCAGCAGUGAGGAAUAUUGGUCAAUGGGUGAGAGCCUGAACCAGCCAUGCCGCGUGAAGGAAGACUGCCCUAUGGGUUGUAAACUUCUUUUCUGCAGGAAGAAAUCACUCUACGUGUAGGGUGUUGCCGGUACUGCAGGAAUAAGCAUCGGCUAACUCCGUGCCAGCAGCCGCGGUAAUACGGAGGAUGCAAGCGUUAUCCGGAUUUAUUGGGUUUAAAGGGUGCGUAGGCGGGCUUGUAAGUCAGUGGUGAAAUGCUGUGGCUUAACCAUAGAAUUGCCAUUGAAACUGCAAGUCUUGAGUACAGUUGAGGUGGGCGGAAUGAGUAAUGUAGCGGUGAAAUGCAUAGAUAUUACUCAGAACUCCGAUUGCGUAGGCAGCUUGCUAAACUGUAACUGACGCUGAUGCACGAAAGCGUGGGGAGCGAACAGGAUUAGAUACCCUGGUAGUCCACGCUGUAAACGAUGAGCACUGGUUGUUGGCAAUACACCGUCAGCGACUGAGCGAAAGUAUUAAGUGCUCCACCUGGGGAGUACGUCGGCAACGAUGAAACUCAAAGGAAUUGACGGGGGCCCGCACAAGCGGAGGAACAUGUGGUUUAAUUCGAUGAUACGCGAGGAACCUUACCGGGGCUUAAAUGUAGAGUGCAUUGCUUGGAAACAGGCAUUUUCUUCGGAACUCUUUACAAGGUGCUGCAUGAUUGUCGUCAGCUCGUGCCGUGAGGUGUCGGGUUAAGUCCCAUAACGAGCGCAACCCCUAUUGUUAGUUACCAGCACGUAAUGGGGGGACUCUAGCAAGACUGCCGGUGUAAACCGUGAGGAAGGUGGGGAUGACGUCAAAUCAGCACGGCCCUUAUGUCCAGGGCUACACACGUGUUACAAUGGCAAGUACAAAGAGCAGCCACCUGGCGACAGGGCGCUAAUCUCAAAAGCUUGCCUCAGUUCGGAUCGAAGUCUGCAACUCGACUUCGUGAAGGUGGAUUCGCUAGUAAUCGCGCAUCAGCCAUGGCGCGGUGAUACGUUCCCGGGCCUUGUACACACCGCCCGUCAAGCCAUGGAAGCCGGGGGUACCUGAAGUCCGUAACC
rnacentral:rRNA from 1 species